UGGGAAGCCAGAAACUGGCCCUGUCAGUGUGUGGGCUCUGUAACACCCGAUGCUGGGGGGCUGAAACAAAUGAGCUUGAGCACUGCAUCAGGUCACGUUGUGGAGUCAGAAUUGAAACCGAGGCAGUCUGACUACAGAGCCGAAAGUUCUAACAUCAACUCUAAGGAAAAAUAAACAACAAAUUCUUGAACAGCCAUGUGGAAGAUUCUGUAUGAUCAACUGCAAGGGGGAAGAAAAGUCUGAAGUUGGUUUAUGGAUGGGUCCGCUGAGUUCCUGGGUGCAAGCCAAAAAUGGAUGUUGGCUGCAUUACAGCCAUGUUCAGGGGUGAUCUUGAAAGACAGCGGAGUUUCCCUCCCCAAUGGAUAGUGCUGUGAGCAAUGCAUCAGGUUAUACAUGUCAUGUGAAAGGAGAAGUGGCUCAUGGUGGGAAUAUUUAUGAUUCUUGGCAGUAGCCAAUCCUUGCCUUCUGGUCAAUGGCCUAGAAGAUAAAUGGUUGGAACAUCAGUGAUAAGCAGGUCUGAGAUGUGGAUGGACAUAUAGAAG
rnacentral:lncRNA from 1 species